rnacentral:rRNA from 1 species
AGAGUUUGAUCAUGGCUCAGGAUGAACGCUAGCUACAGGCUUAACACAUGCAAGUCGAGGGGAAACGACAUCGAAAGCUUGCUUUUGAUGGGCGUCGACCGGCGCACGGGUGAGUAACGCGUAUCCAACCUGCCCAUCACUUGGGGAUAACCUUGCGAAAGUAAGACUAAUACCCAAUGACGUCUCUAGAAGACAUCUGAAAGAGAUUAAAGAUUUAUCGGUGAUGGAUGGGGAUGCGUCUGAUUAGCUUGUUGGCGGGGUAAGACCGCCAACGA